UGUCCAUGUUUUCUGUCUAAGUAGCGUGUUUACUUGUAACGUUUAAAAUUCGGCUAUGCAAAAAUACAAAUAAAAAAGCACGUUGCAUGGGUCGGUUACGCUGUGUGAGGUCACAGGUGGCAAGAGCGCUAAACGGGCGAUGAAAAAACUGCAUUGUACAUUCAUAUAAAGGCGUCAAGAAAGGCACCGUCCUUCGGAUGAGAUGUUAAACUGAGGUCCUGACUCUCUGCGGUCAUUAAAAAUCCCAGGACACUUCUCGUAAAGAGUAGGGGUGUAACCCCGGUGUCCUAGCCAAAUUACCCCCAUUGGCCCCUAUCUAUCAUGGCCUCGUAUUAAUCUCCAUCCCUGAAUUGGCUACAUCACUCUACUCUCUCCUCCCCACCAAUAGCUGGUGUGUGGUGGGCGUGCUGGCGCACUAUGGCUGCCAUCGCAUCAUCGUCCCUAUACUAUGUAAAGCCCUUUGAGUGCCUAGAAAUGCGCUAUAUAAAUGAAAGGAAUUAUUAUUAUUAUUAAUAAACAUUGACAACAUGUAUCUGUAAGAGCGCUUGCAGUUGCUUUGAUAGCAGAAAGUAAUAAAAGGACUCGUAAAUAUGAAUGUAAACCCAUAUAACAGUUCGGUUUAUUCCCUGCCAUUAAUGUGGAUGUCUUUUAUGGUCUAGCGGUCUGGUGGGUAACCAUGGUAACACAGAAGAUCAGAUCUGUUCUGUCCACCAAUGACACGCUGCGGAUCAACAAACUCCUCAUCUUCUAUCUGAUAAUAGUGACUCUUCUCUUGCUGUCAUCUGGUUACAUUGGAUUACGGAUUGUGGCAUUGGAAAAACGGUUGAUCAUGCUGGGAACACUGCCGGAGCACACACUACACAACCAGAACAAUGAAACGUGAUGAGAGAGGAGAAUGAGAACCUGCAGAAACAUUCAGAGCGACAGACGAGCGACAAACACACCCGGAAACAGACGAGCGACAAACACACCCGGAAACAGACGAGCGACAAACACACCCGGAAACAGACAAACUACUAAUGAAUUCUGUGGUGGAACAGAAUCAGAAGAUUUUUACUGUGUGAUCUGAAGCGGUUAUUAUUAUUAUUUUUUUAAUUUUUUUAUCGAGGUUCACUUAUAUUGUUAGUAACGUUUUUUGCAGAAAAAAACCCCAAACAGUUAUAAUGUAGUAUUACAUGAACCUUUUCUACCCUGUCUUUGGCCCUCUGUCUGAAACACUUGGUUUUCUGUGUACUUCACCUUUAAGAAACGCCCACUGUUCUGAUUGGCUAACAUAAUUGAAAGCCCAAGUAGGUAUAGCUGCAGGCUGCACCAAAAGAGGACGAGGACGAAUCUCAGUUGCCUCCGCGUCUGAGACCGUCAAUCCGCGCAUCUGAUCACGUGACUUGUUGAGCGCUUUAUCAUGGAGACGUAGCGCGUGUGGGGGCUUCACGCUAUUCUCCACAGCAUCCACACACAACUCACCACACGCCCCACCGAGAGCGAGAACCACAUUAUAGCUGACCACGAGGAGGUUACCCCAUGUGACUCUACCCUCCCUAGCAACCUUACAUAUUCUUACAUAAAACAAACACUUGUUACUCACCACCAUCACCGUCGUGUCCAAUAUUGCUGCCUCAGCUUCAUCUUUCAAAACCAGUUUCAUUGUUCUCGGAAGAGUUCAUCCAUGAAUCCAAACAUUAUUCCCACAUUUGCGUUCAGGAACACGUUACAGUGUAUGUAACAUAAAUAAUUAUUCUUGUACAUUGAUAUUUUGAGACAUGUAAAAAAAUCAAUAAAGUAUAUUUCUCAUGCGUGUCUCUCAAUGGUCCUGACAGACUCAAUCAUGACCUUUCUCCUUACACAUGACUAUGCCCUUGUGCACACUGAGACGUUUGCGUUUGAAAGCGCAUCUUUUUCUCUCCGUCCGCACUGAGACGGUGUUUUUGAGCUUUUUGAAAACGCACUCCAAAGUGGAUACAUUUGAAAACGCCGUUUUGGCGUUGUUGUGCGGACUGUGAAAACGGACGCUUUGGAAACGAUGAUGCAUUUUUUAGUCAUGUGAUCUAUCCAACCAAAACAAUCAAGAUGGCGGCCCGUGUUAUAGCGGCGCUGUUGUAACCGAUACUCACUUUCAUAGCAUUGUUAAAAUAAUAAAUGUGACUUUGUACAACAUCACAUUGCGUUCCUUCAAAGGCGACGGGAAGAUUACUCGGAAUUGGUGUCCGGCGACGGAACACGAGGACUAUUGCGUUUCAGACCGUAUGUGCAGCGGGGUCAGUGACACGAUUUAAGCAUUUUCAUACGUUUCAGUGCGGACGAGCAACUUUAGGAAAACGCUUGAAACGCCAUUUUCAAAUGUAAAUGGUCUGCACUUAUAUUGCGCCUUUUUAACCUUAGAGGUUACCAAAGCGCUUUACACUGUGACCCAUUCACACACAUGCACACACGCACACACGCGCACACGCGCACACGCACACACGCGCACGCACGCACGCACGCACACGCACGCACACGCACGCACACUCACGCACACUCACGCACACUCACGCACACUCACGCACUAAUGGCAACAGAGCUGCUAUGUAAGGUGUUAGUCUGCCAUUGGGAGUAACUUGGGGUUCAGUGUCUUGCCCAAGGACACUUCGGCAUGUGGAGUCAUGUGGGCCGGGAAUCAAACCACCAACCCUGUGAUUAGCAGCCAAACCGCUCUACCACCUGCGCCACAGCCGCCCCAGUGUGUAUCCAGAUUAAUGCAGACGUAGCCUAAAUUAACCAGUUUAACUACCUCUUCCACCAGACAAGCUGUUAUUUCUGCAGAAACAAUCAAACUAAGAGUCUUAGGAACUACAUGAUGCUGCUUUAACUUCAUUUAUCCUGCAUAAAACACACAAUCCUAUAUUGCGUCCAUCAUGUAUUCACAUUUAUAUUCCAGCAUUAAUCUAAAAACAUCUUACAACAUAAUGUAAAUGUACAGGUUACUACAGAGUAACGAGUGAUGGUUCAGUUCAUGGAUUGAGUUCCAGUUUUUGUGUUUAAGGAUUUGUCUUCAAUGUAACAGACACGUUGGAGCAUUUGUAGAGCGCAAUUUCAAGUGUGAUUCCGAUAUUGUAGAUUCCAUCCAUCCAUCUUCAACCGCUUAUCUGACGUCGGGUCGCGGGGGCAGCAGCUCCAGCAGGGGGUGCCAAACGUCCCUAUCCCGAGCCACAUUAACCAGCUCUGACUGGGGGACCCCGAGGCGUUCCCAGGCCAGUGUGGAGAUGCAAUCUCUCCACCUAAUCCUGGGUCUUCCCCGAGACCUCCUCCCAGCUGGACGUGCCUGAAACACCUCCCUAGGGAGGCGGCCAGGGGGCAUCCUUACCAGAUGCCCAAACCACCUCAACUGACUCCUUUCAACGCAAAGGAGCAGCGGCUCUACUCCGAGCUCCUCACGGAUGACUGAGCUCCUCACCCUAUCUCUAAGGGAGAAGCCCGCCACCCUUCUGAGGAAGCCCAUUUCGGCCGCUUGUACUCGAACCUAGUUCUUUCGGUCAUGACCCAACCUUCAUGACCAUAGGUGAGGGUAGGAACGAAAACUGACCUGUAGAUCGAGAGCUUUGCCUUCCGGCUCAGCUCUCUUUUCGUGACAACGGUGCGUUAGAGCGAGUGCAAUACUGCCCCCGCUGCGCCGAUUCUCCAGCCAACCUCCCGCUCCAUUGUCCCCUCACUCGUGAACAAGACCCCGAGGUACUUGAACUCCUUCACUUGGGGCAAUACCUCCUUCCCUACCCGCAGAACGCACUCCACCGGUUUCCUUUUGUAGAUUAUUGAAUUUAAUUUCAGGCCACAGAUAAAACACUGUUCUGAACGUCACUGAAAUGGGAACGUCACAUCAGCACGUCCCGUUUCCUCAAUCGUGCUCAAACUUUUACAUUAGUUUAAAGUGUGUUUUUAUUCUGUAUAUGUCAAUGUCCAAUUAUCCUGUUAUAGAACCAUGUGUCACUAUGAUUAGAACUAUUAGUGGUUAAAAUGAGUAAAUUAAUACAUUUUGUGGGUCAGUGAUUAAACAACAUGAUUUUGAAUGAACUGUAUGUUUGAGUUAAUUAAUUGAGGAAAUAAAGGUCCUUUCAUUUUGGCCGAUGAAGGCUUUUGUUAGUGGUUAAUUCAUGUUCUAUGUUGUUUAAAAGUGUUGUUCCUCCUUUGACCAAUUAAUAAAUGUAUCAUUCAGCGAGGAGCGUCGCAGUCCAGCUGGAAACUGAUGGCAGGUAAUUUGGUGAGCCCAUCCCGAGCCCAUGCUUCAGACAGAGGCUCAUGA